rnacentral:lncRNA from 1 species
AUUAAAAACUUCAGUUUUAAAAGCUUGCCAACUGUCGAUUCCUUUGUAAUGUUUGUGAAUGUAAUUCAUCUUAGAGAUUGCUUAGUUUAACUAUGAUACUGUCAUUUUGUUAUGUCACGCAUGACUUUUUUUCUGAUAGUAAUUGAUUUUUUUUACUUUUCAACCAAGCUGAAACAAAAGUGAACAACAAACAGAAAAUGGUUUUGUUGCAGCCACCCGGUGAAAAGGGAGUUCAAGUUGAGCUGCAGCUGCUGUAAGCAGUCUGUAGCGGUGAUGUCAUCCUGAAGUGUUCUCAGUGUGUCAGUCUAGGCUGCUGAAGCUAAUUAAAGUGUGCUGUUCAAGUCUUAUCAUAGACGUCAAGCACAGCACUGAUAACAAAUUAUAAACAAGACUCUAUGAGAAGCCAUGUCAUUUGAAGAACUACACAGUCCAUAAGGUCCCUGUUUGAAAACCCGUUGGCUGCUACCUGUGAAUCUCCCUUUUUACUUCCUUAAACGGGCCGUCUUAAUUGAAGGUAACUCCUUCGAUACUGAUCAUCCACUGGACCCGACUUCAUCCGUUGGUGAAAGCUGACAAGAGAAUGCUGUAAUUCAAGACUGAUAAAUUGUGUAGUUGUUAGAUAAAUUACAAGUGCAUAUUAUCUGGGCUCCCUUGUUCA